UAUAUAUUUACCUAUGGAAGGUCAUUGUAUUCUCCAGGAAGAGAAAAAAAAUCAUUUAUAACCUUAAACUUAUUUUGACGGCAUGCAUAUUGAUUGGGAGGAGUUGAAUGAUAAAGUAUCUCCUCGUCUGCAAUGAGUACACAACAUAACCUCACUUUUUGUGACAGCAAAUUCUGCCACCCUGCCGCAAAUGUUAUGUAAUACUUUUCUCAUUUUUUUUUUCAACGAAGAUUUAUUUAAUUACACAACUUAUUUUAUAAAAUUAUAAAAAAUAUCAAUUUUUAAGUAUUCUUUUCGUUCCAAUUGGAUUGUAAUUAAAUUUCCAAUAUCACAUGUUACAUAAUUACGGUUAGAAUCUACUUUUGCCGAGUGCGAUGUGGGUUAAUUUUCGUUGCGUAACUUGGGACUUUUUUACUAAAACUUUUGUCAUAAUUUAAUGAGUAAAAUGCAAUUUAAAUACAUUUUCCAAUUAAAAAUUCUAAUUUGAUUGCAUUAAAUUCAAUCCGGCAUUUAUUGGAAAUGGCGAUAAGUCGAUUAUAAUGUAACUUUUCUUUUCUUCACUUUUUUUUCUUCUUCCACAAAACACAUUUUAUAACAAGAAAAAUUUAUUUUAAUUUUAUAAAACAAAAAUUAAUUAAUAAAUUACCUGUGUGGCAGCCUUUGGAAGGUUGCGAGCCACAGAUGAGGCCAAACGUGCAGAUAACAUCGACAUUUUUCCUAAUUUGAUGAUGAUUUUUUAACCAACUUAACACUUCUCUAGUUUAAUUCAAAGAUGGUUGCCCAGAAAA